AAGCAGCAGGUGAAUUCCCUUUCUGUGGUGACAUGAAAGGUGAUAAAAUCCCCAGAAGCUGGUGUGCGGGAGCUGCAGCUGCCCAGGCUGAAGUUAAGUCCUCUAUGAUGAUUUACAAUAAAAGCUGGGAAGAUGUUUCUGCUGGGCCUGAUAUUAGAUGACAGCACGUCCUUUAGAAGCUGCAGGUGUGGAUGCUG